UCCUCUCUGUCUGUUUCUCUCUGUUUUCUCUGUUCCCUCUUUACCCCCCUCUCAAACCCUAGCUCCGCCGUCGCCGCCUCUUUCUCCACCGAGUCUGGAUCUGCUUCAGUUUUCCAUUUUUCUAAUGCUUUUUGAUGAUACACUGCGUUUGAAUCGGGUGAGUUUCGCUGACCCAAAUAAGGAAAUUUGUUGGAAUCGCUCUCUUUCCACCAGUUUAAAGCAUUAUAUCGAGAUGCCCCAUUUUGAUAUUUGAUUUCUAGAAGAGUAACAAUGUCCAGAAGAUUGUUGUUUGUAUUGUUGGCCUAUGGACCGUGAAAGAACGAAUUGGGCAGGAGCAUUUUGAAGCUAUUAUGCAAGACAUACAUGUGUACAUUUUCCUUUUUCUCAUUUAUUGCCUAUUAUGCUGAUACUUCCAAUAACUUUUCUAAAUUAUACAUUGAUGUUUAGGGAAAUAAAGUAUAUAGUGUACUAACUCUAUUUCGGCUGUUAACUGUUUCAUAUCUCAUGUUUAUACGGUUUUUUGUAGCCACAGGAAAACUCGAUGUUUCAAAUGCGUGGAACAGUUCCAAGUUACUGAUCAACUUUGAGCAUGAUCGAGUUGCUUAGUUCAAA